rnacentral:lncRNA from 1 species
AUGGGCCUGGUAGGACCACAGCCUGAAGAUAGAUGACUUUAUAACAGCCAUCUGACCUACUUCUGCCUUAGCGCAGCAUACAGCAGCCAGCCGAAGGGAAAAUUCGCAACCUGCCGUGAAGGACAUGCCUGUGCUCACAAAGUAGUGGGCCAUACUGUGUUUUCCCCAGCUAGCUGUGGAGUUAGGAUUUUGAAGCUGUUGGGUGGGGCUCCAUCUGUGGAGUGGGGGCAGGGACCAUGAGGUCCAAUAGGUGGAAUGGGUGGCCUCCCUGCAGCCAUGCAGGGGAGGUGACUUUCCUGGCAGGAAUUUCGGUGACUCUCCCCUUACUAACCACCAUCCUGCCUUGACCCCCAAGAGACACGCACUGUGAUCCAGCGUCACCUCGGUUCUACACCCCCUGCUCCCCAGCAGAGUGGACAGUUCUGUUCUAGAAGCCUGGCCAACAAAUUCUUUCAGACACAAGACUAUCUGGGGAAAUGAUAUGAAGGAAAAAUUAAGGAUCUAAUAAGUUGAGCAUUGAGAUGAGGCAUUCCGUGUGAGCGAGUGCUUAGUUUCCAGGGGUAGCGUUGUUCUUCCUGCUGAUGUCCACCUCACACCACUUUCAUGCUCCAAGAAGAGCCAGCUUGUUGCCUCCCGAGCUUUUUCUCCACCUCAUCCCAGGGCAGCCUGUAGCUCUACAGAGAUCCAGAUACUAAAUAAGGAUUUAUGAAGUUAGCCAGGAGCAAGGGAUGGGAGCGCCACAGCGCUUCUCUGACAUCUCAUUUUCCUUAGUGUUAAGGAAAGGAAGGGACGGAAGCAGACUCCCCUCCCCCCCCUCUACCACUCAUUCCCAUGGUAUGCAGAGACCGUGUGAAUCACCUUCUAAAUCCACAGCCAGGGGUGAGUGAGCCGUGAGGUUAGAUCUGCAGGAAAUAAGGCCGCCGAGGUCAGAAGCCCCACAGAGGGGACAUGAAGCUGUUCAGCACAGGGAUCCUGAGGAGGAUGUCUCAGGAGUGCUGCCUUUUAGGUGAGUCACACCCAUGUCUGUCUCCCAGAUGUUAUCUUGCUAAAGUAUUAAAAACUGCCAAUAGUUUAGAUGAAACAUAAAGUUCGUAUGUAUUCAUAGACCCUGGGAUUAUAUAACAGGUUAAUGAGGUAAGACCCUUGUUUGUUGUCUGCAGCCAAGUGUGGUCAGCACACACUUAUCGUUCUAGCACUUUGGUAUCUGAGACAGGGGCAUAGAGAGAGAGUUCAAGGCCAUCCUGGGCUACAUAAUAAGUUGGAGACCAGAUGAACUACACAGCCACACCCUGUCUCAAAAUGAAACAAGGCUCUGCAGGGGGAAUAUAAAUUAUUUGUAAUUCUGUAAAUACACAAGCUUUUCCUUGAAGCUUGCUCCUGAGGUAGAGACUAUAAUUGGGUAUUUUGUGCUUCUGCCUGUGGGACCACUCAAAGGGGCUUUUUUUAGCAUGUUGGACAAGUUGUGGAUAUUUCCCAGUGUGGGGUUUAAGUUUGUAUUUAACUGCAAGAGUUUCUCACUUGACGCUGAGCUGUCACACCACGUGCCAAGCUGUCGACUCACCCGUCACCUUCCACAUGCUUAUCAUGACUAACCCAGAGCCCCAAGUCACUGUGGGUUCAUUUCCUAUGGUCUCAGUGUUCCGGGGUCAGAGCAAACCGGGGAAACUCAUGUUUGUGUUGAUGUUCCUCAUUCCUGUAAACUGCCCACAACACCGAGCCUCAUUGAACAUAGGUAGAAGAGGCCCAAGCCAGCAACACAUGCAGAGACGUGCACCACAGGCCAGGCACUGUACCAGGUUCCCCCGUGGCACAUGGAGAAAUCUGAGGGUUGGAAAACUGAAAUCAUUUUCUUGGGAAUCACACACCCAACAAAUGCAGGAACCACGAUUCAAAAUCAUAGUCUUCUGCCAGCUACACCCAAGCUUUGCAUUUGAAUCCUACCCUGUGUCCUGACUCAGAGGUCAGAUCUUAUCUGUGGGGACCAUUAUUCAGUUGGAUGCAGUCACGUAUCUUUGGUAUAUUACAGAAGGAUGCUCUCAUCCAGCUGGAUGUUUCCAUGGCAUUCCGUGUUCUAGGUCACCCUGAGACAGCCGAUUAGUGAUGACUACGCUCUGCCCUUCUGCCUCCACAGUGUGCCAUGACCAGAAGAGAGUCUUUUCAACAAGGGCGCUCAACCACCAAGAAGGGUAAGGAAAGCGGUGCGGUUCAUGAGUCACCUCUUCCCUUUUCAUGACUAGAAUCUAAUGACAGCUCAUCACUCUUGUGCCUUCAAGGAAGGUCAGCUCGCACAAUUCAAACGUAGCAUUGCAACCAAGAAACCAGUUGUCUUCUGAUGUGAUUGUUGCCUGUGACCUCUGUGAUUCCUCUGUCAGGGGAGAGCCUGAUUUCCCAUGUACACUGGUCCCCCUACCCUCUUUGUGGAUGAAGGGAGCAGGGAGAAGCUGAAGUUUCUUCCCCUCCCUCUGCCACUUCAGUGAAACACACUCCCCUCCUGGGUGUUCCCAACGUGUGCUGUAACUUACCGGUGUUUGUGUUUCUUGACUUUAAGUUCCUCUUACAAACUGGGAAUUGGAUGGUGUCCAUUUUAGGGUAAGCAUGGCCUUUGAAUGAGAGGCACAGAGGAGGGUGUUGUGGGAUGUAUGUGUUCACACACAUUUUGUAGAUCUCAUAGCUGCCUCGAUGGCUCUCUCUGUCCCCACCUCACUGAUGAGACAUCAGCUUGCCCCAUGUUGACAUGUGAUGGUGAGUGACCCAGGCGGGAACCUCAACUUUUUAGGGUCUACAGGCCUUGAAUCCUAGUCUCUGGUUCUCUGUGUGGCUCCUUAGCAGACGUAUAAACUGUUCUCACUGCCUUUUACGAAAGCCACCUGUGUUGUUCUUGUCCUAACAGCUGGACUCGGAGAAUUGGUUGAUUUAGGUUUUUUCCUUUCUACUCUUCCCCCCACCCAUUAGUGGCCUCUUGCCCCCUACAUACACACACAUUCUCUCUCUCUCUCUCUCUCUCUCUCUCUCUCUCUCUCUCUCUCUCUCUCUCUCUCUCUCUCUCUCAGUUAAAGUCUUACACUGACAAGUGAUAGAACCCCGCUGAGUCACAAGGUGUCGACAUUGAGUCUUGAGUGUUUAGACCAUGCUGGCUGCUUCCCUUCUUGUAGAGAUUGGGGGAAGUAAAGAGCCCUGGGGUUUGGGGUAAAAUGCCUGCUGCGCACAUGGAAUGUGAGAACCGUAGUUGUGUCGGUGAGAACUGAACAAGACAGGAGGUGUGUGUACCCGGGCAAGGAGGAAGUAAGCAAGAGAAUGUGCGUAGGCGGCCCGUGUGCUUGGCACAGAAGAGGCCUUAGAGAGGCUGCUGGCUGGGACAGGCUGUGUAAUUAAACAGUUGAACAGAUCUUAUUAACGGCAGGGUGGUGUUCACCACAGGCCGGCAGGGGGAUGGGGAGAGAGGGAAAGAGCUGGAGAUGUCUUUGGACACAUGGAGCUAGACAUGAGUUUUCACAAGCAGGUAGGCUGAAGAACAUAGAAUCCAGGUGACAGCUCAUAAAUU